AUUAGGUUGGCAUAAAUCCAAAGGGGAUUCUGAUCAUUUAAGAGGUUUGUGCCCUGCUGUUUGCAAUGGGAUCUUCCAGCUCUUCCCGCUGAGAUGUGGAAUUCCUCUCCUUGCAUCUGCUGGCUAAUAGAGAAGCACAGUCUGGACAGGCCCACCCAGCAGCCAACCCUACCAGAUUUGCAGAUGAGACCAUCCCCCGCCAAUCAGCUCUCAGUGAAGGCACCAGCUGACCACAGACCAAUAAGUAACCUCCAUCGCAAUCUGCUAAGCCUGGAUCAUAUCUGCAGAAGCACUCAACAGCAGUGAGACACACGAGAAAUUAUGAAUACUAUUUCAAGCCA